ensembl:lncRNA
UCAGCAAGUCAAAUAUACUCCGAAACAGGCCUAAUGUUUGAGGCACCAAAAUGAGUGUUGAACAGUGUAAUUAAAGAGGGUGUGUCUCUUAAAAUUAUAGAAUCAGAAUUGGAAGAGACCUCAUGCAACAUCCAGUCCAACCCUCUCCCAAGAAGCAGGAAAUCGCAUUCAAAGCACCCCCGAGAGAUGGCCAUCCAGCCUCUGCUUAAAAGUCUCCAAAGAAGGAGCUUCCACCUUGGCAGAGAGUUCCACUGCUGAACAGCUCUCACAGUUAGGAAGUUCUUCUUAAUGUUCAGGAAAGUGUAUAGUCCUUCACUGUAGUCCUUCAAGGAGCAGCAUGAAAUCAAGUUUAAAAGGGAGAGAAACUGUGUAGAAGAGAAGAAAAGUGUCUGAAAUGAACUUGCUUUCCCUGUUGACAUGAGUUUGAACGUCAGUGAUGCUGUUAUGGUAACAUACACAUAUAUUUUCAAACAGAAUGAUGGAUCCAGUUCCCUUUCCAGAAAAAAGGAAGUCAUGUUGGCAGAAGCUGGGGCUAACAGUGGGAGCUCACCCUGCUCCCUGGAUUCGAACCGCCGACCUUUUGGUCAGAAAGUUCAGCAUGCACCACCGGGGGCUCCAAUACUUUAAAAUAGUAGUUUAAAUAAACGAAUUUGGAUAAUACAGUAAAACAAGUUUUAUAAUACAGUAAAAUGUGGUACAUCAAGUUGAAUUUGUCUUUGUUUUAAUUCACUUUUAAUUACUGUAUUUCAAUAUUAAUCAGUACAUAGUUAAUGGUAUGGUAUAGUACAUGUACCAAUUCCCAUAGGUGCCGGUCAACUGAGAGUUUUGUGUAUUUCUAAAUGACUGGGAGCAUGAGUUCCUCAUGCACAGUUAUAAUAAUAAUAAUUUCAUUUUUGUACCCCACCUCCAUAUCCCCAAAGGGACUCGGGGCAGCUUACACGGGGAUGAGCCCAAUCAACAUAGUUAAAAUAUCAAAUAUGAACAUACUAAGUACACACAUAGUACAUAGAAGUGCAUAAACAAUAACAUAAAAACAGAAAACAGGAACAUUAGAACAAAAAUAAAUCAACCCUCAAACAACCACUAAAGUUGAAAUAGCUGUCAGUUCCUAGGCAUGGAUGAAUAGGCUAGUGCUAAUCAAUUUUGAAGAUAAGGCUGACGGAUAAAGUGCAAAAUCAGACAACAGGGAUUAGGGGUGGAAAACAAUGUAAAGUAGAGCAUAAUAGAGAAUACUAGCAAAGUGCAAGAGUGAGAUUUUAUGUCCUAGUUGGGGUCGAGGCACAGUGGAACAUCCACGUUUUUAGAUUUUUCCGGAAAAUUGAUAAGGUGGGUGCUAGCCUAAUUUCCCUGGGGACGGAGUUCCAGAGGCGAGGGGCAACCUCCGAGAAGGCCUUCUCUCUCAUCCCCAGCAACCUCCCCAGAGGAUCUUAGGGACUGUGCAGGUUCAUGCGGUCACGAAGGUAGGCAGGUCCCGAACCAUUCAGGUCUUUAUAGGUGAUAACUUGCACCUUGAAUUGGUUAAUUUUUUAAUUUUAUAUUGUGAUGGCCAUGGCAUUACUGUGAAUCUAAUAAUGUAUGAUAUUUGCUUCUGUAACUUAUAAUGCUCAGUCAGUCUGCAUAUUUGUAAAUUAAAUAGAUCAUUGUCCAAUAUGCUUAUCAGAAAGAAAUGUACUGUACUGUAUAAAAUCUGAACAGCAAAUCAUUCCAGAACAUUUGGCCAUUCAGGAAAUUCAUAACAAAGGCCUUAGCACUAGAAGCUUAUUUCAAAUUCCUAAUAUUAAUGACA